GCCCAGAUCAUCUAGUUGAUUAGGAUGAUACGUUGUGGUUAUUCUAUACAGCGAUCCGUGUUGACGGCGGUUCAAAUCCGCCUCUAGGCA
rnacentral:tRNA from 1 species